rnacentral:lncRNA from 1 species
UCUGGGAUCUCAAAGCCAUAGCCUUCUUACUGCUGCUGCUCCCGCUUCGAGGUCUGCUUGAUGACGGCCUCCCGGGAAGGGUGCCGCUUCCCUGCCUGUCCUUGAUGCUGUUGUGUAAUUCAAUCUGCUCCAGCUCACUGCUGAACUGAUCCAAGUACCUUUCAAUUAAUUCACAGGCAUCUUUCUUUGAAUAUAUCGGGUCUUUUUGUAUCCAGAUAACUGUGAAACCACUGAAGUUUGUCACCAAUAAGGUUGAGACGCAAGGCCCUCUCAGUCUCCAAUCUUUGCUUCUUGUCUUGUUUGUGAGACUCUCUUGUAAUCUGAGCUGCUUUUCUACUGUACGGAUCGAUGACGUUUUUUCCCCAUCCUACCAUUUUUCCUUUCAGUCCUUUAGGCAUGGCAAUGUCUUGGCCACCGAGGCCCCACGAUGUCCAGAUAUGACAAUUUCACAGAGGGCAGCCGCAACUACUCCCAGGUUCACGUCUUCCCAAACACACAUGGGUCCUGGGGGAAGCAAAUAGGAGCGGACAGGAAGGGGAGGGGCUGGUGCCAAAUUUGUCAUUUUUUAAAAGUGCAUGAAUUAGAAGAUGUUUUAAAAAUAAGUCAGACGGUCAUCCACUAGCAACCUUCAGAUGAAGAUGUAAAACUCUCAGCUCCUCCUGUACCUUGCCUGUGGGGAUGCUUCCAUGUUCCUACUUUGAUGAUACUGUACUGAAUCUCUGAACCUGUAAACCAGCCCCAAAUAAAUGUUGUCUUUU